GGAAUAUUGGACAAUGGGCGCAAGCCUGAUCCAGCCAUGCCGCGUGAGUGAAGAAGGCCUUCGGGUUGUAAAGCUCUUUUGGCGGGGACGAUGAUGACGGUACCCGCAGAAUAAGCCCCGGCUAACUUCGUGCCCGCACCCGCGGUAAGACGAAGGGGGCUAGCGUUGUUCGGAAUUCCUGGGCGUAACGGGCGCGUAGGCGGUUUGUUAAGUCAGGCGUGAAAGCCCUGGGCUCAACCUGGGAUGUGCGCUUGAUACUGGCAAGCUUGAGUGCAGGAGAGGAUGGUGGAAUUCCCAGUGUAGAGGUGAAAUUCGUAGAUAUUGGGAAGAACACCGGUGGCGAAGGCGGCCAUCUGGACUGCCACUGACGCUGAGGCGCGAAAGCGUGGGGAGCAAAC
rnacentral:rRNA from 1 species